rnacentral:misc_RNA from 1 species
UCUCGGCUUAUCACCGGCAGUCCCCCUAGAGUGCCCAACUCAAUGCUGGCAACUAGGGGCGAGGGUUGCGCUCGUUGCGGGACUUAACCCAACAUCUCACGACACGAGCUGACGACAGCCAUGCACCACCUGCACACAGGCCACAAGGGAACACCUAUCUCUAGGUGCGUCCUGUGCAUGUCAAACCCAGGUAAGGUUCUUCGCGUUGCAUCGAAUUAAUCCACAUGCUCCGCCGCUUGUGCGGGCCCCCGGCAAUUCCUUUGAGUUUUAGCCUUGCGGCCGUACUCCCCAGGCGGGGCACUUAAUGCGUUAGCUACGGCACGGAAACCGUUGGAGGGUCCCCACACCUAGUGCCCAACGUUUACGGCGUGGACUAC